rnacentral:rRNA from 1 species
UACGUAGGGUGCGAGCGUUGUCCGGAAUUAUUGGGCGUAAAGAGCUCGUAGGCGGCUUGUCGCGUCGGAUGUGAAAGCCCGGGGCUUAACCCCGGGUCUGCAUUCGAUACGGGCAGGCUAGAGUUUGGUAGGGGAGAUCGGAAUUCCUGGUGUAGCGGUGGAAUGCGCAGAUAUCAGGAGGAACACCAAUGGCGAAGGCAGAUCUCUGGGCCGUAACUGACGCUGAGGAGCGAAAGCAUGGGGAGCGAACAGG